CCGGCGGCCUUGGCGUAGAGGGCAGCGGCGGUCUGACCGUAGAGGGUGGAGA
rnacentral:ribozyme from 1 species